rnacentral:rRNA from 1 species
CCUACGGGAGGCAGCAGUGAGGAAUAUUGGUCAAUGGGCGCGAGCCUGAACCAGCCAAGUAGCGUGAAGGAUGACUGCCCUAUGGGUUGUAAACUUCUUUUAUAAAGGAAUAAAGUGAGGCAUGUGUGCCUUUUUGUAUGUACUUUAUGAAUAAGGAUCGGCUAAUUCCGUGCCAGCAGCCGCGGUAAUACGGAGGAUCCGAGCGUUAUCCGGAUUUAUUGGGUUUAAAGGGAGCGUAGAUGGGUUGUUAAGUCAGUUGUGAAAGUUUGCGGCUCAACCGUAAAAUUGCAGUUGAUACUGGCAGCCUUGAGUACAGUAGAGGUAGGCGGAAUUCGUGGUGUAGCGGUGAAAUGCUUAGAUAUCACGAAGAACUCCGAUUGCGAAGGCAGCUUGCUAGACUGCCACUGACGUUGAUGCUCGAAAGUGUGGGUAUCAAACAGGAUUAGAUACCCUUGUAGUC